rnacentral:rRNA from 1 species
CCUACGGGUGGCUGCAGUGGGGAAUAUUGGGCAAUGGGCGCAAGCCUGACCCAGCAACGCCGCGUGAAGGAAGAAGGCUUUCGGGUUGUAAACUUCUUUUCUCAGGGACGAAGCAAGUGACGGUACCUGAGGAAUAAGCCACGGCUAACUACGUGCCAGCAGCCGCGGUAAUACGUAGGUGGCAAGCGUUAGCCGGAUGUACUGGGUGUAAGGGGCGUGGAGGCGGGACUGCAAGUCAGAUGUGAAAACCACGGGCUCAACCUGUGGCCUGCAUUUGAAACUGUAGUUCUUGAGUACUGGAGGGGCAGACGGAAUUCCUGGUGUAGCGGUGAAAUGCGUAGAUAUUAGGAGGAACACCAGUGGCGAAGGCGGUCUGCUGGACAGAAACUGACGCUGAGGCGCGAAAGCUUGGGGAGCAAACAGGAUUAGAUACCCCAGUAGUC